rnacentral:rRNA from 1 species
UGCCAGCAGCCGCGGUAAUACGGAGGGUGCGAGCGUUAAUCGGAAUAACUGGGCGUAAAGGGCACGCAGGCGGAUGGAUAAGUGAGAUGUGAAAGCCCUGGGCUUAACCUGGGAACUGCAUUUCAGACUGUUCAUCUAGAGUUUUGUAGAGAGGGGUAGAAUUCCACGUGUAGCGGUGAAAUGCGUAGAGAUGUGGAGGAAUACCGGAGGCGAAGGCGGCCCCUUGGACAAGAACUGACGCUCAUGUGCGAAAGCGUGGGGAGCAAACAGGAUUAGAUA